AAGACGGCCGGCGGCGCGGGCGCGGCUCCGGCGAAGGAUUCCGGCGGCCUGGCGGCGUGCGUGCGAGGGAAAACCGGGGGGAAAAGAAGAGGGGGUCGCGGGGGUUAUAUAGACGAGCUCGGGCGUGAAAAAGGAAGGCCGGAGGAGCGGAUUGCGGCGGCGGGCGCGCGGGGACGGCGGCCGGAAAUCGCGGCGGCGGCGCGGGCGUUUCCUUCCGGGGAAGAAGACCCUGACGCGUGGGUCCCACGCGUCAGCGGCAGCGGGCGCGCGCGCACGUGGCUGGGCCGGUCGGGUCGGCUCGGGCGCGGUCGGACCAGGCCGGUUCGGCCCAAAACGGCCGGUUCGGUCCGGUUUUCUAUUUUUUUUUUUUUUUUCUUUUUGCCUUUUCUUUUUCUGCUUUUCUCAUUUCUUUGAUAUCUUUUGAGUUUGAACUCCAAAUUGGUCCAAAUAAAUCCCAGAAAAUUUCUAAAAUCAUAUUCUACCAUGAUACAACUUUUGGAAGUAGUUUCACCUCAAAAUAAAAUAUGUAAAUAUAGAUUUGCCCUAUAAAUGCCUUUAGGGCCAUAUAUCUGUUUAAAUAAAAUACUUUUUCAACUCCAAAUAAUUAUCCAAAAAUUAUGGGAUAGCUUAUAUAUGCACUAAACCCUUUUUAUACAUCAACCCUAUUGGUUUGAAAAUCCAAAGGUUACAGGGAUGUAAACAAGAUCUCUUAAAGCCUUUUUGUGAUUCAAAAUUUGAAUUCAAAUACGCAAUUGUGGCAUGCUGCUCAUGGAUGCAAUGCACAUGUAAAAGUUUGAAAUUUUGGGAUGUUACAGACCUAACCCCCUUAAGAUGAAUCUCGUCCUCGAGAUUCGGUGUGGCUAGCAAAGAGGUGUGGGUGGUCUUCUCGAAGAUCAACUUCGCGUUCCCAAGUGGCUUCUUCUUCUGUGUGAUGGUCCCAUUGGACUUUGCAAAACUUGAUGGUCUUGGAUCGGGUCUGUCUCUCAGCUGUGUCCAAGAUCCUGAUCGGUUUCUCCUCAUAGGUGAGGUCACCCUGUAACUGGACUUCCUCAAGUGGAAUCGUAUCCCUCAGGGGUGUGUCGGCCAUCUCGGGGUGACACUUCUUCAGUUGCGAUACGUGGAAGACAUUGUGGACGUUUGACAGUGCUUCCGGCAAAUCCAACUUGUAGGCUACCUCUCCUUGUCGCGUCAAUAUCUUGAAAGGUCCGACGAAUCGGGGUGCUAGUUUCCCUUUUAUACCAAACCUCUUUACUCCGCGUAUCGGUGAAACUCUGAGAUACGCUCUGUCUUCAGCCUCGUAGAUGACUUCCCUACGUUUAGAAUCUGCGUAGCUUUUCUGCCUUGACUGGGCUACUUUCAGCCGGUCUCGGAUGAGUCUAACUUUUUCCUCGGCAUCCUUGAUCAUAUCCGGGCCGAAUAGGCUACGGUCUCCUACACCAUCCCAUAACAAUGGUGUUCUGCAUUUCCUUCCAUACAAAGCUUCAAACGGUGACAUUCCAAUGCUGGCUUGGAAACUGUUGUUGUAUGAGAAUUCUGCAUACGGCAAAUUGUCAUCCCAACUAGACCCAUAAUCCAGAACGCAGGCUCUCAACAUGUCCUCAAGAAUCUGAUUUACUCUCUCGGUCUGUCCAUCCGUCUGCGGAUGAAAGGCUGUACUGAAUUCUAGUCUUGUUCCUAGAGACUCAUGUAGUUGUCCCCAAAAUCUUGAGGUAAACUGGGUACCUCUGUCUGAAACUAUUUCCUUGGGUACUCCGUGUAAACACACUAUUCUGGACAUGUAGCGUUUCGCUAACUGUGCACUGGUGUAUGUAGUCUUCACUGGUAUGAAGUGGGCAACCUUGGUCAAACGGUCAACCACUACCCAAAUGGAAUCAUAUCCUGAUCUAGUCCUUGGUAGCCCGGUGAUAAAGUCCAUGCCGACUUUAUCCCAUUUCCAGUCCGGUAUAGGCAAUGGUCUCAGUAACCCUGCUGGCUUCUGGUGUUCUGCCUUAACUCUGCUGCACACAUCGCACAAGGCAAUGAACUCUGCGAUGUCAUGCUUCAAUCCGGACCACCAAAAUGUUUCCUUGAGGUCCAUGUACAUCUUUGUGUUUCCAGGGUGGAUUGAAUAUGGUGAAUCGUGGGCUUCUUGCAAAAUCAACUUUCUGAUUUUCGGAUCUUGCGGUACGCAAAUGCGUUUUCCGAACCAUAUGGUUCCCUGAUCGUCUUCUCGAAAAUCUUUGGCCUUUCCACUAAUCAUAUUCCCUCUUAUUUCCUUUAUUUCCGAAUCAUCUUUUUGUGCUUCUCUAAUCUUAUCUAGCAGUGUGGGUUGCACUUCCAAAGUGGCUAAGUAACCUUCCGGUACUAUUUCUAGUCUGAGGUCUUUGAACUGUUCGCACAACUCUGGUGGUAACUCUCCAGCUGUUAGUCCAUUUACAUAGCCCUUGCGGCUCAAUGCGUCGGCUACGACGUUAGCCUUGCCUGGAUGGUAUUGUAAAUUCAGGUCGUAAUCUUUUAUCAGUUCUAACCAUCUUCUCUGCCUCAGGUUCAGCUCCUUCUGGGUGAAAAUGUACUUCAGACUCUUAUGGUCAGUAAACAGCUCACAGUGCUUUCCCAUCAGAUAGUGCCUCCAGGUCUUCAAGGCGUGCACUACUGAUGCUAACUCCAAGUCAUGAGUGGGAUAGUUGCCUUCGUGGCUCUUUAGUUGCCGCGAAGCGUAUGCUACAACUCUUCCUCCUUGCAUUAACACUCCUCCCAAUCCUUGACGUGAGGCGUCACAGUAUACUUGAAAAUCCUCCUGUAGGUCAGGCAAAACAAGGAUGGGUGCGGACACUAGCCUUUUCUUCAAUUCUUGGAAACUCUCUUCACAAAACUCAUUCCAGGCAAACUUCUUCUCUUUCUUUAACAGCUCUGUCAUGGGUUUCGCCAUUUUGGAGAAAUUCUCAAUGAAUCUCCGAUAGUAACCAGCAAGUCCAAGGAAACUACGGACUUCUCCGACGUUCUUCGGUGCCUCCCAUUCUGUAACUGCUGCAACCUUAGCUGGGUCAACGGCUACUCCGGCUCCUGACACUAUGUGUCCAAGAAAGCUGACUUCUGAUAACCAAAAUUCACACUUGCUGAAUUUGGCGUACAGCUGGCGCAUUCUCAACUUCUCCAAAAUCAUGCGCAGAUGCUGCUCAUGUUCCUUUUUGCUCUUGGAAUAGAUCAGAAUGUCAUCGAUGAAUACUACGACGAACUUGUCCAAGAAUUCCAUGAACACCUUGUUCAUCAUGUUCAUGAAGUAUGCAGGUGCAUUGGUCAAACCAAAAGGCAUCACGGUGUACUCGUACAGUCCAUACCUAGUGGUGAACGCUGUCUUGGGUAUAUCCAUUUCCCGGAUUUUCAGCUGAAAAUACCCUGAUCGCAGAUCGAUCUUUGAGAACACUUGAGCUCCCUUCAACUGGUCGAAUAAAUCAUUGAUUAUGGGUAAAGGAUACUUAUUCUUUAUCGUCACCUCGUUGAGUGAACGAUAGUCAAUGCACAUCCGUUGGCUCUUGUCCUUCUUUUCUACAAACAGGACAGGUGCUCCCCAGGGUGAUGAACUGGGGCGGAUGAACCCUUUCGCUAACUGUUCAGCUAGCUGCUUCUUCAAUUCUUUCAACUCGUCCACAGCCAUCUUAUAUGGUCUCUUGGCUAUGGGUCCACUUCCUGGCAUUAACUCAAUAAGGAACUCCACAUCACGGUCCGGUGGCAUGCCUGGUAAUUCCUCUGGAAACACGUCUGGGUAUUCCUUCACUAUUGGUACUUCGUCCAUACUAACCCCCUUAAGAGCAUUAACCUUGGGUCUCUUAAGCUCGUGGGUUGACUUGUACCGGAUGCGUCUCUUGUCUGGGGUAGUGAGGGUGACAGUUCUCUGGGCACAGUCUACUAAUCCUUCAUAUAAGGUCAACCAGUCCAUUCCCAAGAUUAGGUCCAGUCCUCGGGAAUCUAUAACUAUGAGAUCAGAGGGAAAAAUAUGUCUCCCAAUACUUAGGGGUAGCUGGCGACAGUGUCGGGUUGCUAGUAUUGUUCCACCCGGUGAGUUCACUUUCAUGGGUCUAGCCAUGGUCUUAGAGGGUAAUUUGCCUCUUUCUACCAAUACUCUUGAAAUGAAUGAAUGCGAUGCUCCAGUGUCAAAUAGAACAAGUACUUCAUAAGCAUUAAUGUGGAAGGUGCCAAGUAUGAUACCUGGUUCCUCGGUGAUCUCUUCCACAUCCACGUGAUUCACGUGGCCCUUCUGGAAUGGAUUGGGCUUGUUCCCAGUGCCAUCCUGGUUGUCCGGGCAGUUGGUGGCAUAGUGUCCCAUCUUGUGACACUUGUAGCACUCCACCUUGCUCAUGUCCUUAUUGGCAUUGUGGUUCUGACCAUUGUUGUUCUGGCCAUUGCCGUUGUUCCUGCCGUUCCCGUUGCCAUUGAUGGGCCUUGGGUGAGCGAACUGGUGCUGUUGCUGAUGCUGGUGCUGCUGAUGGUGUCGGUUCACAUUGCCACCCUGAUGGUGGUGUCUUUGGCUUCCCUGGCGGUGGUGGUGGCUAUUACCUCCACUGCGGUGGUUGCCCUGGUUCCCGUUCCUGCUCAAGGAGGAACUGCCACUUCCGUCAUAGGAGGUGCGCUGCUUCUGGUGCGGUCCAGUGUGAGAGCCCCCCUGGUGAAGUCUUUUCUUGCGGCUCUCCAUUUGUGCGAGCUUGCUUUCCAAAAUAAUGGCCUUGUCGAUCAAGGACUGGUAGGUCGGGGUGUAAGCAAUAGCAAGUUGAACUGACAGCUCGUCGUUCAGACCAUCCAAGAACUUCUCUCUGCGCUUGGCGUCGGUGUUCACAUCGUCCGGUGCAUAGCGGGACAGCUGGUUGAAUACUUCUAUGUACUCUGACACAGAGCGGCUUCCUUGUCGUAGCCUGUGAAAUUCCUUCUUCUUCAGGCUGAGCACUCCCGCAGAGAUGUGGGCAGUGCGGAAGGCUUCCUGGAACAUGUCCCAGGUGACAUCCUCGAUGGGGGUGGUGAUCUGAAAAUUUUCCCACCAUGACGCUGCGGGUCCUUCUAGCAAAUGAGCUGCGAAUCGCACUUUCUCUUCGUCAGUGCAGUUGAUGGUGACCAAGUUCUUGUUGACUGACCGGAGCCAAUCGUCAGCCAUAAUAGGCUCAGUGGAGCUGGAAAAAGUGGGCGGGCGCAAACGUAGGAAUCUGGUCAGCAUAUCCACUUGGGGUGGUUGGUGUUGCUGGUUGUUGUGGUUCUGCUGGUGGUUGGCAUUGUUGUUGGCCAAUUGCUGGGUGAUCAUCUGGAAGAAUUGGGUCUGAGCGGCCAAUAACUGUUGCAUGGUGGCAGCGUUUCCGUCAGCUUCGGCAUUGUUAGCCUCAGCGUUGUUGGCGGGGUGCCGGCGUCUCGGAGGCAUCUGCUUAGGGUAGCAUAAAUGAGGAAAACAGAUAGAAUAGAGCUAAGGAUAACUAAACCCUCAAAACCAGGUAGUAACUCAAGCAUAUAACAAUCAUACACUCAUCAACAUAAAAGGUUUUGAAAAAUCAUAACAAAACACACUUGUUUAUGGUGGGGCAUUGCCCAUAAAGAAAAGAGUACGAGGAGAAAGCAAUCGACCUACAUUGCCAUACACAUAGAUUGUAUGGUCAAUGACUAACUCGCACUACCUAUAGCUAGAAGAAAAGAUAAAUUCUGGUAGGCAUCAACAGAUCUAAGGGAGUGUGGCUGUCGGUGUGGUCCCGUUCGCCUUCAUCUUGGAGCGGGUGUUUGUAGCAGGGGUGUCCAUCUCGUGGACCUCCUGGGGCUCCUCCUCCUCAGUCGGCUCCUCCUGAGCCUCCAUCUCCUGGUCCUGUGGUGGAGGUGGGACCUGGUCUGGCGCCGGUGCGGCAGCUGGUGCUGCUGCGGCUGCUGCUGCGAUGAACGCCUGGAACUGCUCGCAGUAGUAGCGAGCCUGGUCCCUCUCGUACUGCAGCUGCUCGAUGGCGUCUCCCAUAUUGAGGACAGUGUUCUCCAACACGGCCUUGUCCUCCAGCCACUGGGUCUUCUCUCCCAUUAGGUUACCAACCUGCUCCUCGGCGAGGUCGGCCCUGGUCAUCUCGUGCUCGAGACAAGACUCCAAGUCCACGGUGUUUAUCUCCAUGUUCUCGAAGUGGGUCGUCACUGGGGUCGCAUCCUCGUCGUUGGUCGUAGCCACCGCCGAGCAUGCAUGGUUCCGCCUUCCAAAGAGGAGGAAGGAGGAAUCCUCGGGGAACUCGUGCCGAUAGUCCCGGCACACCUGUGCGAAGGCGCACUGCAUGGCGAACUGAAGGCCCUGCUCGAAGGUGGGGUAGCGGCUGAUGAAGGUGAUAUCCGGUGUAGCUGGCGCGAUCUCACGCCCCCGGAUCUUCGCCUCGAUCUCCCACCGUGGCUGCCAUCCCUCGGGUGCGGCGGUCUCAACUCGGCCUCUGAACCUGGGUGGUGGCAGGUCGAGGAAAGCACACAGUGCCGCCAAAGGGGCACUGAACAGCUGAUCGUCGUCCGUGGAAGGGUAGUAGACGCGGGUGAACGGCGGUACAUUGCCGAACGGUGUUGGGCUUCCCAUCUAUAGAAAAUAAAGAAGGAGAUAAGGGAGUAUCAGUGACAUGAUCAAAUGGUCGAAUGUAAGUAAAAAUAAAAAUAAAAGUGGUAGAGUGGGAAUCAAGUGAUAACAUUAGUAUCAAGGGUGGAAAUGUAAAUAUAAAAUUGGAUGCAUACUAACAUGUGAACAACAUGGCAACAUGAUUAUAGUGGUGUAUGGUGUAAAAAUCGAAUAUGCAUCUGUGGUAAAAUAUAUUAAGCAUACAUAUGUAGUAAUAAACAUAGUAUUCGGUGUAUAUGUGGAAUAAAACAAUAAACAUGUCAUGCAUAUGUAAGUUAUAAAUGCAAAGAUUUAGAUGAAUAGGGAUAAGGAAUAAAAUGUAUGUAUAUAGAUAUAGAACAGAAAGGGAUGAGAACAUUUCCUAAGGUUUGGUCUUUGGUCUUGUCUUAUCUUAAUCCAAACUAAGGUCACGUUCCUACAGGCAACACUUUGCUCUGAUACCAUCUGAAGCGAUCCCCUUCACAAGGGUUCGAUCUCUGUGCUUACUUGUGCUAGUCCCUGGAUCGACUCACUAGCACACACAGUUCAAGAUGUAAUACCAAGAUACAAAGGUCAAAAGUACUUUAUUACAUCGUAUCAUCCAGAACUUAAAUUAUACUUACAAACUUGCAUGACCUCUUGGGCCAGCAUAAACAAAUAAUGUUCAAAACCAUGACAACAAUGUAUCAUGAAGCUGCAGCGGAAAAGUAGAGUAAAAGGGCCUCAUCUACUCCCAGAGGAGAGAGCAUGUUGGAAUGUAAGCACAUGACCCAUGACAAAACGACGAACCUCACUCAUCGUCGGAUCCACCUGCAUUAUUAAUUGCAGCCACUACGUGGUCAAUACAUUUGAAUGUAUUGGCAAGCUCACCAGAGUUAUAAACGACCUACCAGGUACAUGCAUAUUUUGGCUAAGUGGGGUUUGGCUAUUUUGCACAAAAGCAUCUUUAUUCAAAUCCUAUCAUUUUUAGACAAAUAGUUUUGAAUUCUAUUGGACACGGGGUAGAAACACCCAUGCUCCUAUUAACCUAGGCACAUUGAGUAGAAACAUCAAUGCUCCUACCCAGUUCAAACCAUUCAUUUUAUUAGGAAAUUGGAAUGAGUGAGACUUUCCUUACAGCUCCGAUGUCUAGUUGCUCAUAAUUGUCCGUAACCGGGGACACGGCUAAGUACUUAGUUUGACACUCUCGAGAGGUGGUACACUUUACCCACAAGAAAUCGACGUGUUAAUCCCUUGCUGUCCUCCAGGUGGAGUAGCAACGGCAUCGAUUACAGGAAUUUUCAGAACAUAUUCCCCCAGACCACCUGAGGGACGCGCCCCCACCUACACUGCUACAUACCGAUGUCACCUCGGAUCCGGGUUCAUAUUUCUUACAUCCAUCCUGGCAGAGCCCAUAAUACCAUGUGGUUGUACUGGAAGCUACUAAACAGGAAACUAGUCCAGUCUCUGGUUAUCCCGGGUGGCAUCCCACAUUGUGACGCAGGCGCUCCCCGAAUCGCACGGGGAGACGACCAUGGACGCUCCCGAAUCACACGGAGAGACGACUCAGCGGGCCCCAUAGAAAUGGACCUAACGUCACGACAUCCGAAAACUCAAAGCAGCCCACCCAGGAUGGUUCAUUGAAUUACUUGUUUUGCCAUACGCUAGGAAAUUCAUAUUGUAAUUCAAUAGUAUCACAUUGUAUUAAUACCACCCUCGUAUAUUAUCAUAGCAUAGCAUUUUACUACUACGAUGGCAAUUGGUGGUAAGGUCAUGACAAAGGUAUCCUAUACUAGUAGGAUAGAUCAUAGCUAGCAUAGAUACAAUAAUAAUCCUGACAAUGCAACUAAUAAAAUCUAGUGCAUAAUAAAAUAAUAGGUGAAUGAUCAAAGUGAACUUGCCUUGAUAGUAGUUGGAGUUCAAACACUCGUCACAAUCGCAAGGUUCGCUCUCCGAGACUACUAUACAAUCAACAAACAUAUACACACACAUAAACACAUAAUACAAACAUGACAAAAGAAUAUGUAUGCCAUGAUGCGAUGCAAAACAUAUGACAUGGGUGGGUGGAUUUUAUUUGGGUGAUCUACUGGUCCAAGGCAUUGAUAAUUAGGCACAUGCAAUUAGGGUUUUUAAAUGAAUUGCAAAGCCUAGGGUUUAAACCCUAAAAUGAGGUUUUAUUAGCAUCAGCCAAAUAGAUUAAUUCAAAACAUUUGUUUCUCUGUCCCAUUGGACAGAGGACAUUAAAACAAAAUUUUGGGCACUGGUUUCAUUCAAAAAGGACUUCUAAAUAAUUAGUUAUGAUUUAAAUGGUAUGAACCCUAAUCUGUAAUUUGAAUGUGAUUCAAGUAUUCAAAUUUAAAUUUGGACAGUGCCAAAAGAUUCUACACUUUCUAAGGAUUCCAAAAAGGUGUGGAUCAUUAAAUUUGGCCAAACAGAUUUAAAGUUAUGAUCAUUUGAAGUUACAGGGGCCUAUCUGCAAAAGUGCCUUUUAUUAUUUCCGGGGGAUUAAAAUUACAUUUUAUUUUAUAAAACCGGGUGCCACGUGGCGUUAUCUUAUUCAUCGGUACCGGUUCGGUUUAUAAAGAAAUAAAAUGUUCUAAUCCCGACCGUUGAUCAAGAUCCAACGGCCGAGAUCGAAGAUGGGCUCACCGGAGCUAGGGUUUCGGCCGGGGGAGAUUCCGGCGAGUGACGGGGUGCGGCGGCGGGCGGUUCCGGCGUCGGGGCGGCUCGGGGAGAUCACGGGCGAGGGCGGUGCGGGGCGGCGAGGCCGGUGGCGCGGUCAGCGCGGCGCGGGGCGGUCGGGGCGACGCCAAGGUCGGCGCGAAGACGGCGGCGCGGGCGGCGGAUUCCGGCGAAGCUCGGGGUGCGACGGGGCGGUGCUGCAGGGCACGGGAGCAAAGGCGGCGCGCGUCAAACGAAGCGCAAGGACGAGGGGCUCCAAAAAUUUGAAAGCGCAGGAAAACUGGCUCACCGGCGAGGUCGGGGCGGCGCGGUGAAUGGCGGCGGCGGCGGAGCUUUCCGGCGACGAAUUAGGGCGGCCUGGCGGCGUGCGAGCGGGGGCGAGAAGAGGGAAAAAGAAGCGGGGAGGCGGAGCUUUAUAAUGACGCGGGCGGAGCACUUCGGGAAGGCCGAAAUCGGCGGGGAGCGGUGAUGGCGGCGGCGACUGCGCGCGGGUCGGGCGGCGUGACGCGCGGGGCUUUCCUCGCGGGGAAGAAGACCCUGACGCGUGGGUCCCACGCGUCAGCGGCAGCGGGCGCGCGCGCACGUGGCUGGGCCGGUCGGGUCGGCUCGGGCGCGGUCGGACCAGGCCGGUUCGGUCCGGUUUUCUAUUUUUUUUUCUUUUAGCCUUUUCUUUUUCUGCUUUUCUCAUUUCUUUGAUAUCUUUUGAGUUUGAGCUCCAAAUUGGCCCAAAUAAAAUCCAGAAAAAUUGUAAAAUCUUGUUCUAUCAAGAUACAACUUUUGGGAGUAGUUUCUCUUCAAAAUAAAAUAUGUAAAAAUACAUUUGCCCUAUAAAUGCUUUAGGGCCAUCUAACUAUUUAAAUAAAAAUACUUUUUCAACUCCAAAUAAUUAACCAAAAAUUAUGGGAUAGCUUAUAUAUGCACUAAACCCUUUUUAUACAUCAACCCUAUUGGUUUGAAAAUCCAAAGGUUACAGGGAUGUAAACAAGAUCUCUUAAAGCCUUUUGUGAUUCAAAAUUUGAAUUCAAACAUGCAAUUGUGGCAUGGUGCUCAUGGAUGCAAUGCACAUGUAAAAGUUUGAAAUUUUGGGAUGUUACAAAACCCUAAGAUGAGGUUUUAUU
rnacentral:lncRNA from 1 species